rnacentral:misc_RNA from 1 species
AAUCCUCCACUCCGAGCUUCUUUGUUGAGGCUCGGGGCUGGGAAUUGGGGGCUUGCGGGUGUCGAUCCGCUCCCCUUGAAUGCAUUAGUGGGGUUCCGAAAGGACUUCGGCGUGAUAAUUAUCUGCGUCGUGGGCCGCUUCGACUAGAGCCUGGCUCCUAACCGUCUCUGUGAGACAAUUCACCUUGA